AGUGGGGAAUAUUGGACAAUGGAGGCAACUCUGAUCCAGCCAUGCCGCGUGAGUGAUGAAGGCCUUAGGGUUGUAAAGCUCUUUCAGAUGUGACGAUGAUGACGGUAGCAUCAGAAGAAGCCCCGGCUAACUUCGUGCCAGCAGCCGCGGUAAUACGAAGGGGGCUAGCGUUGUUCGGAAUUACUGGGCGUAAAGCGCGCGUAGGCGGCUUGAUCAGUCAGAGGUGAAAUCCCAGGGCUCAACCCUGGAACUGCCUUUGAUACUGUCAAGCUAGAGCUCGGAAGAGGGUGGCGGAAUACCCAGUGUAGAGGUGAAAUUCGUAGAUAUUGGGUAGAACACCAGUGGCGAAGGCGGCCACCUGGUCCGUAGCUGACGCUGAGGUGCGAAAGCGUGGGGAGCAAA
rnacentral:rRNA from 1 species